CCGUAUCCCAGCACCACGACGAGCAGCAGCAGCGCGGCGCCCAGCACAGCGCCCGCCACGAAGCGCAGCAGCACAAUGAACAGCAAGCUGGCAGCCAUGGCGAUCACCAACCCGAUGACGAUCCAAUACCACGACACCGUGUAGUCCUCAAAGAUGCGCAUGGCCAACUGCCGCCCCUCCAGCACCGCGUUGGCGCUCCUGGCUCCCUGCAGCAGCUCGCUGAC
rnacentral:lncRNA from 1 species